UACGUAGGCAGCAAGCGUUGUUCGGAAUUACUGGGCGUAAAGAGUGUGUAGGCGGUGCUCCAAGUCUGGUGUGAAAUCUCCCGGCUUAACUGGGAGGGUGCAUUAGAAACUGGAAUGCUAGAGGAUGGGAGAGGUAAGCGGAAUUCCUGGUGUAGCGGUGAAAUGCGUAGAUAUCAGGAGGAACACCUGUGGUGAGGACAGCUUACUGGACCAUUUCUGACGCUGAGACACGAAAGCGUGGGUAGCAAACAGG
rnacentral:rRNA from 1 species